GAUGGGAAAACUGAGACUGAGCUAUGAAGUGCUUUUCCCAACGUCUCCCACCCCAAAGCAGAUACCCCAUUUGUGCAAACUGGAAAAUGUACUUGGAGCAUUUAACACACUGCCCAGCACAUAUUAGGAGCUGGGUUAACAUUAAAGGAAGAAGGAAGUCAGGGAGUUGCUUCCUCAUCUGGGGACACCAAGGUGGCUGAGGCAGUCACCAGACGGAAGCAGGUUUGGGGAAGGCAGGAGUUCAUUUUAGGGGGUAAUGGGUCUGAAAGCUAGGGGACCUGAGGUGGGGAUAUUGUGAAGGUAGCUGGUGUCCAGGGUUUCGGGCCUUGCUCCUGGAGUCCUUUGGCCUGAACUCCAUGAAGAGGACAUUGUGAGAGAACGACUCACCUUCUCUCCUGCGUGGAUCUUGAAGGACACGCCCUGCACAGCCAGCGGGAGCUCAGGUGACCUGCUUUCCUCAAGCUCAGAAGCAAAGGAACCAAGAUUUGGCCUGGCUCCAGACCUUAUGCUCCUAACCAUUGCUGCCACCGUGUCUGUGACUCUGACCUAUAGAGGUCUGUCCAGUUGCGAACAACCCACUGCAGCGUCUGGGUCACCUGGUGCAAGAAAGCAUCUCUGACUGGGUUCGGCAAGGCCACUUGAGGGCUUGCAACAGCCCCGCUGGUUUCCCAACCUUUGCUGCGAGGCCAGACGCAGGGGAGUAAAGACGGGAGGCAGGAAUGGGGAAGCUGUACAAACUGGCUUGAUGCAGGUGAGACAGGAUCAGAGACGGUGUGUGGCCCUCCCAGGGACACCCAGCAGGACCCAGGCCCGCUGAUUCCUUUCUGACAGCUUCCCCACAGCAACCGGUGGCCACCAAUUUCCCGUGACACUUGGAACCACUCCAAGCUCCUCCCUAUGAACCAUGACCGGCUCUAGUCCUGCCAUCCCAUCCCCAAACUUGUCUCCCAGCAUCCCUGCCUUCACCCACCCUCUCUGGCCACACCUGCCUUCCUGCUGUUCCUCUAACACACCAGGGAUGAACCUUCAACUCCCAGUCCUCACUCCCUCCUAAGUCACCUCCUCAGAGAGGCCUUCCUGGAUGCAGGAGGAAAAUGCCUCCACCGCCACCCAACAUGCUCCGGCCUCUUACUUCAUCCUGAAGCUUAGCAGCCUUGACUGUAGAAUGAGGAUAAUAA